UACGUAGGGUGCAAGCGUUGUCCGGAAUUAUUGGGCGUAAAGAGCUCGUAGGCGGUUCGUCGCGUCGGCUGUGAAAACCCGGAGCUCAACUCCGGGCCUGCAGUCGAUACGGGCAGACUGGAGUACUGCAGGGGAGACUGGAAUUCCUGGUGUAGCGGUGGAAUGCGCGGAUAUCAGGAGGAACACCGGUGGCGAAGGCGGGUCUCUGGGCAGUAACUGACGCUGAGGAGCGAAAGCGUGGGGAGCGAACAGG
rnacentral:rRNA from 1 species